GAUGAAGAACGUAGCGAAAUGCGAUAAGUAAUGUGAAUUGCAGAAUUCAGUGAAUCAUCGAAUCUUUGAACGCACAUUGCGCCACCUGGUAUUCCGGGGGGCAUGCCUGUUCGAGCGUCAUUUCACCACUCAAGCCUCGCUUGGUAUUGGGCAACGCGGUCCGCCGCGUGCCUCAAAUCGACCGGCUGGGUCUUCUGUCCCCUAAGCGUUGUGGAAACUAUUCGCUAAAGGGUGUUCGGGAGGCUACGCCGUAAAACAACCCCAUUUCUAAGGUUGACCUCGGAUCAGGUAGGGAUACCCGCUGAACUUAAGCAUAUCAAUAAGCGGAGGA
rnacentral:misc_RNA from 1 species